rnacentral:rRNA from 1 species
UACAGAGGUCUCGAGCGUUGUUCGGAUUCAUUGGGCGUAAAGGGCGCGUAGGCGGCGGGGUAAGUCUGGUGUGAAAUCUAGGAGCUCAACUCCUAAACUGCACUGGAUACUGCUCUGCUAGAGGACUGGAGAGGAGACUGGAAUUCACGGUGUAGCAGUGAAAUGCGUAGAUAUCGUGAGGAAGACCAGUGGCGAAGGCGGGUCUCUGGACAGUUCCUGACGCUGAGGCGCGAAGGCCAGGGGAGCAAGCGGG